rnacentral:lncRNA from 1 species
UGUUUUCGAUCGUUAUCAUCAGUGAAGGUAAGCAAGUCACUCUCCUAACUUCAUAAUUUGAUUCUAGAGCCUUGAAAUCUAUGAUGAUGAUGAUCUUUAGGGGAGGGUUUGUAUGGGUUUACUGGUGGAAAUUUUUUGCUUUGGGUAGAAUUAUCAUGAAAUUGGAGUUUGGGAUUAGGAUAUAAUCUGGGUGUGCUAAGGUUAUUUAGGUCUGAUUAUGUGUUAGAUUAACUAUGUGUAGUCCGAGAACAAG